rnacentral:rRNA from 1 species
GACGAACGCUGUUGGCGUGCUUAACACAUGCAAGUCGAACGGAAAGGCCCUGCUUUUGUGGGGUGCUCGAGUGGCGAACGGGUGAGUAACACGUGAGUAACCUGCCCUUGACUUUGGGAUAACUUCAGGAAACUGGGGCUAAUACCGGAUAGGAGCUCCUGCUGCAUGGUGGGGGUUGGAAAGUUUCGGCGGUUGGGGAUGGACUCGCGGCUUAUCAGCUUGUUGGUGGGGUAGUGGCUUACCAAGGCUUUGACGGGUAGCCGGCCUGAGAGGGUGACCGGCCACAUUGGGACUGAGAUACGGCCCAGACUCCUACGGGAGGCAGCAGUGGGGAAUAUUGCACAAUGGGCGGAAGCCUGAUGCAGCAACGCCGCGUGCGGGAUGACGGCCUUCGGGUUGUAAACCGCUUUCGCCUGUGACGAAGCGUGAGUGACGGUAAUGGGUAAAGAAGCGCCGGCUAACUACGUGCCAGCAGCCGCGGUGAUACGUAGGGUGCGAGCGUUGUCCGGAUUUAUUGGGCGUAAAGGGCUCGUAGGUGGUUGAUCGCGUCGGAAGUGUAAUCUUGGGGCUUAACCCUGAGCGUGCUUUCGAUACGGGUUGACUUGAGGAAGGUAGGGGAGAAUGGAAUUCCUGGUGGAGCGGUGGAAUGCGCAGAUAUCAGGAGGAACACCAGUGGCGAAGGCGGUUCUCUGGGCCUUUCCUGACGCUGAGGAGCGAAAGCGUGGGGAGCGAACAGGCUUAGAUACCCUGGUAGUCCACGCUGUAAACGGUGGGUACUAGGUGUGGGGUCCAUUCCACGGGUUCCGUGCCGUAGCUAACGCUUUAAGUACCCCGCCUGGGGAGUACGGCCGCAAGGCUAAAACUCAAGGGAAUUGACGGGGCCCCGCACAAGCGGCGGAGCAUGCGGAUUAAUUCGAUGCAACGCGUAGAACCUUACCUGGGUUUGACAUGGAUCGGGAGUGCUCAGAGAUGGGUGUGCCUCUUUUGGGGUCGGUUCACAGGUGGUGCAUGGCUGUCGUCAGCUCGUGUCGUGAGAUGUUGGGUUAAGUCCCGCAACGAGCGCAACCCUUGUUCACUGUUGCCAGCACGUUAUGGUGGGGACUCAGUGGAGACCGCCGGGGUCAACUCGGAGGAAGGUGGGGAUGACGUCAAGUCAUCAUGCCCCUUAUGUCCAGGGCUUCACGCAUGCUACAAUGGCUGGUACAGAGAGUGGCGAGCCUGUGAGGGUGAGCGAAUCUCGGAAAGCCGGUCUCAGUUCGGAUUGGGGUCUGCAACUCGACCUCAUGAAGUCGGAGUCGCUAGUAAUCGCAGAUCAGCAACGCUGCGGUGAAUACGUUCCCGGG